GAGUUUGAUCCUGGCUCAGGAUGAACGCUGGCGGCGUGCUUAACACAUGCAAGUCGAACGAGGAAUUUUAAAUGAGACUUCGGUGGAUUUUAAAAUUCUUAGUGGCGGACGGGUGAGUAACGCGUGGGCAACCUGCCCUGUACAGGGGGGACAACAGCUGGAAACGGCUGCUAAUACCGCAUAAGACCACGGAGCCGCAUGGCUCAGUGGGAAAAACUCCGGUGGUACAGGAUGGGCCCGCGUUGGAUUAGGUAGUUGGUGAGGUAACGGCCCACCAAGCCGACGAUCCAUAGCCGACCUGAGAGGGUGACCGGCCACGUUGGGACUGAGACACGGCCCAAACUCCUACGGGAGGCAGCAGUGGGGAAUCUUCCGCAAUGGGCGAAAGCCUGACGGAGCAACGCCGCGUGAGUGAAGAAUUAUUUCGGUAUGUAAAGCUCUAUCAGCAGGAAGAAAAUGACGGUACCUGACUAAGAAGCCCGGCUAACUACGUGCCAGCCGCCGCGGU
rnacentral:rRNA from 1 species